AGUCCCGCAACGAGCGCAACCCUUAAGCUUAGUUGCCAUCAUUAAGUUGGGCACUCUAGGUUGACUGCCGGUGACAAACCGGAGGAAGGUGGGGAUGACGUCAAAUCAUCAUGCCCCUUAUGAUUUGGGCUACACACGUGCUACAAUGGACAAUACAAAGGGCAGCUAAACCGCGAGGUCAUGCAAAUCCCAUAAAGUUGUUCUCAGUUCGGAUUGUAGUCUGCAACUCGACUACAUGAAGCUGGAAUCGCUAGUAAUCGUAGAUCAGCAUGCUACGGUGAAUACGUUCCCGGGCCUUGUACACACCGCCCGU
rnacentral:rRNA from 1 species